rnacentral:miRNA from 1 species
AUAUACAUGUGUGUGUGUGUGUGUGUGUGUGUGUUUGUGUACAUAUAUACAUACACACACACACACAUAUAUAUAUAUACACCUAUAUA